AAAAAAAAACACAUUCCAGGAAUCCUAGGGAAAGACUGCUGGGUCCAAAGUGCCUCCAGUGCCGAGAAGGGACCUGCUACCCGGGCCCAUGGUGGGAGAGCUGGCCUGGACCACCUCAUCUUCUCAGGCCAGCAGAGGGUCCCUGUCCACUCUCCUUAAAGACAAGGUGCCAUAAUGGGAAGCUGAAUGCAGGGCUGUCAAUCACCAAGGAACAUUUGGAAACGCAGCAGCCACAUAAAAGCUUUCCCUGACUUACCCCCUCUGCUCAACGAAGGAGGGAAGGAAGCUCAAAGAAAUCAUCUUGCAAGCAGUUCAGCAGCAUCAAGCAAAACAUGGGUGGACCUGGCCAUCUGAGGAACGCGGGGAUUGCAAACGCACUGGUGACAGGGCCCCCACGCUCCUGCCUGCCUCAGAACUGAACCUCAGGCAGGCACCCCGCUGUGAAGCCCCCCUGGGGAUUUAACCAGCAAGCCUGUGCCAGGGUGGAGAGCCGCACAGGCACUGCCAGAACUGGGCUGCCCUGGGCUUCCUGGAAACUAGCCCGUGGCUUCUGCAGAACGAGGCCAGCGAGGGUGGGGGUGUGGGGCAUGCCCAGGGGAGUUGCCUUCAUGCUCAUGCAGGUACAGGUGGGAGCAGGGCCCUGGGGACACUGGAGAGAGUCCAGCAGGGGGCUUUUUGUGGUCUGGCUCCGCGCGAGGGGCUGCUCUCAAGAAAUCUCAACAAUCCCCAAACGGAAUGAAACUGGAAGUCAUCUGACUCGGAAAGAAGUCUCUAGCCCACGCUAAUCAUUUGGUUAUCACACUUCUGGGGACUUGCCUGAAAAGUCCAGAAGACAGUGAAUUUGAGGGGAACACGUGCCCCUGUUUACUGCAGUUUGCUUACAAUAACCGAGACCUGGAAGCAACUGAAAUGUGCACCAACAGAUGACUGGAUAACGAAGACGUGAGGGACAUUGCCAUACAGUGGGUACUUCCACUCUUGAGGGGGCAAUGUCCCGACUUUAGCCCGUGUAGCUGAUAAUAAAUAAGAGUCCUGCCAGCUGCAUCAUCGGGACGGACCUAAAAGGGCAUGACACUGGCGAAAUGUCAGGAGCAGGACAGACACCUGUGAUUUCAUUCCUAAGUGGGGCAUAAGGAUCACAGCAAGAGAAUGAACUAAACAAAACAAAAGCAGCCUUUGAGAUGAUAAAGCCACUUUAGCGUUACCAGAAGGGAAGAGGCGAGUUAAAGGGUGGGUGGUCUGCAGGAGGACGGACGGGGACUCUUAGUGGGCACCUGAAUACAGUAUGUAUGGACAUGGAUAUAUAGUAAUGCACCCCCGAAACGUCUAUAUUGUAUGUAAUGCCAUUUAAUAAAAGUUCUAAUACAACAAAGUAAAAUGAUUUGAGCAAAAAAAAAUCAAGGAAGAAGACAAGUAUCCAAAGUUGGAGCACAACGCUGUCACUCAGCAAUUCUGUGUCACCCACUCUGUGAUUCCCAAGCACCCUUGGAUGAUGUAGGUGACCCCCCCAGUCUCCCUAAAGAUGAGACGGAAAAUUGAUGUAUCUCAGGACUGGCCAUUUGCACAGGCACCAGGGGACAGCAUGAAUGAGUGGACUCACUUGGUUUUGCUGUGUUCAGGGCUCCAGAAAGGGGUCCCUGGAUGCACACACCUCCUGGGACAGACUGGGUCCCAGAGGGCUUUGGGGCAGGUGGGGGGUCACCCAGACCUUUAAAGGAGCUAAUAUCCAACUCUCGCCUGCUUCUGCCAGGAAGAAAUAGUUGGCCGGAUCCUCAGCUUUUCCAAAGAAAUUGGAAAUUCAA